rnacentral:rRNA from 1 species
CCUACGGGAGGCAGCAGUGAGGAAUAUUGGUCAAUGGGCGAGAGCCUGAACCAGCCAAGUCGCGUGAAGGAUGACGGCCCUACGGGUUGUAAACUUCUUUUGUCCGGGAGCAAUUGAGUCCACGUGUGGGCUUAGCGAGAGUACCUGAAGAAAAAGCAUCGGCAAACUCCUUACCAGCAGCCGCGGUAAUACGGAGGAUGCGAGCGUUAUCGGGAUUUAUUGGGUUAAAAGGGUGCGAAGGGGGAAUAUCAAGUCAGCGGUAAAUAUUCGGGGCUCAACCCCGUAGUGCCGUUGAAACUGGUGUACUUGAGUGGGCGAGAGGUAUGCGGAAUGCGAGGUGUAGCGGUGAAAUGCAUAGAUAUCACGAAGAACUCCGAUUGCGAAGGCAGCAUACCGGCGCCCAACUGACGCUGAGGCACGAAAGCGUGGGUAUCGAACAGGAUUAGAUACCCCAGUAGUC